ACGCUGGCGGCAUGCUUUACACAUGCAAGUCGGACGGCAGCACAGAGAAGCUUGCUUCUUGGGUGGCGAGUGGCGAACGGGUGAGUAACAUAUCGGAACGUACCGAGUAAUGGGGGAUAACUAAUCGAAAGAUUAGCUAAUACCGCAUAUUCUCUGAGGAGGAAAGCAGGGGACCUUCGGGCCUUGCGUUAUUCGAGCGGCCGAUAUCUGAUUAGCUAGUUGGUGGGGUAAAGGCCUACCAAGGCGACGAUCAGUAGCGGGUCUGAGAGGAUGAUCUGCCACACUGGGACUGAGACACGGCCCAGACUCCUACGGGAGGCAGCAGUGGGGAAUUUUGGACAAUGGGCGCAAGCCUGAUCCAGCCAUGCCGCGUGUCUGAAGAAGGCCUUCGGGCUGUAAAGGACUUUUGUCAGGGAAGAAAAGGCUGUUGCUAAUACCGACAGUUGAUGACGGUACCUGAAGAAUAAGCACCGGCUAACUACGUGCCAGCAGCCGCGGUAAUACGUAGGGUGCGAGCGUUAAUCGGAAUUACUGGGCGUAAAGCGAGCGCAGACGGUUACUUAAGCAGGAUGUGAAAUCCCCGGGCUCAACCUGGGAACUGCGUUCUGAACUGGGUGACUAGAGUGUGUCAGAGGGAGGUAGAAUUCCACGUGUAGCAGUGAAAUGCGUAGAGAUGUGGAGGAAUACCGAUGGCGAAGGCAGCCUCCUGGGAUAACACUGACGUUCAUGCUCGAAAGCGUGGGUAGCAAACAGGAUUAGAUACCCUGGUAGUCCACGCCCUAAACGAUGUCAAUUAGCUGUUGGGCAACUUGAUUGCUUAGUAGCGUAGCUAACGCGUGAAAUUGACCGCCUGGGGAGUACGGUCGCAAGAUUAAAACUCAAAGGAAUUGACGGGGACCCGCACAAGCGGUGGAUGAUGU
rnacentral:rRNA from 1 species